ensembl:ncRNA C13G3.11 ncRNA
UGAAGAAGAAGAAGAAGCAUUUCUUCACUUUUAUUUUAUGCCCUUCCCAAAUGUUUGUAAUAUGUAGACGGAACAUAUCAAUUAGGGAAGGUGUCUUGUAUGUGUGGCAAUAAGUGUGUGAAACAUCAACACUUAGUCAGUCA